CGGGUGAGUAACGCGUGAGUAACCUGCCUUUCAGAGGGGGAUAACGUUCUGAAAAGAACGCUAAUACCGCAUAAGAUUGUAGUUUCGCAUGGAGCAGCAAUCAAAGGAGCAAUCCGCUGAAAGAUGGACUCGCGUCCGAUUAGAUAGUUGGCGGGGUAACGGCCCACCAAGUCGACGAUCGGUAGCCGGACUGAGAGGUUGAUCGGCCACAUCGGGACUGAGACACGGCCCAG
rnacentral:rRNA from 1 species